GAUGAACGCUGGCGGCGUGCCUAACACAUGCAAGUCGAGCGAUUCUCUUCGGAGAAGAGCGGCGGACGGGUGAGUAACGCGUGGGUAACCCGCCCUGUACACACGAAUAACAUACCGAAAGGUAUGCUAAUACGAGAUAAUAUACUUUUAUCGCAUGGUAGAAGUAUCAAAGCUCCGGCGGUACAGGAUGGACCCGCGUCUGAUUAGCUAGUUGGUAAGGUAACGGCUUACCAAGGCGACGAUCAGUAGCCGACCUGAGAGGGUGAUCGGCCACAUUGGAACGGAGGCACGGUCCAAACUCCUACGGGAGGCAGCAGUGGGGAAUAUUGCACAAGGGGGGAAAGCCUGAUGCAGCAACGCCGCGUGAGCGAUGAAGGCCGUCGGGUCGUAAAGCUCUGUCCUCAAGGAAGAUAAUGACGGUACUUGAGGAGGAAGCCCCGGCUAACUACGUGCCAGCAGCCGCAGUAAUAC
rnacentral:rRNA from 1 species